rnacentral:rRNA from 1 species
UACGUAGGGUGCGAGCGUUGUCCGGAAUUAUUGGGCGUAAAGGGCUCGUAGGCGGUUUGUCGCGUCGGGAGUGAAAAUCCAGGGCUUAACUCUGGACUGGCUUCCGAUACGGGCAGACUAGAGGUAUGCAGGGGAGAACGGAAUUCCUGGUGUAGCGGUGAAAUGCGCAGAUAUCAGGAGGAACACCGGUGGCGAAGGCGGUUCUCUGGGCAGUUCCUGACGCUGAGGCACGAAGGUCAGGGGAGCAAACGGG